rnacentral:rRNA from 1 species
UACGUAGGUGACAAGCGUUGUCCGGAUUUACUGGGCGUAAAGAGCGCGCAGGCGGUCGUUCAAGUCGAGUGUGAAAGCCCCCGGCUCAACUGGGGAGGGUCACUCGAUACUGAUCGACUCGAAGGCAGGAGAGGGAUGCAGAAUUCCAGGUGUAGCGGUGAAAUGCGUAGAUAUCUGGAGGAACACCGGUGGCGAAGGCGGCAUUCUGGGACCGACAUUGACGCUGAGGAGCGAAAGCCAGGGGAGCAAACGGGG